rnacentral:sRNA from 1 species
CACGUGCUGGGAUUAAAAGUGUGCACCACCACAAUCCCCAACAGCUAGAUUAUGGAGUCUUAAAUCCAAGUUAUAUCAACGGUAAACCACACAGAGCUCCCCCAGUCCAGGCAGUUUGACGGUAGAUCCUUUUUUUUUUUUUUUUUUUUUGGUUCUUUUUUUCGGAGCUGGGGACCAAACCCAGGGCCUUGCGCUUCCUAGGUAAGCGCUCUACCACUGGGCUAAAUCCCCAGCCCCUUGACGGUAGAUCCUUAAAUGGGGAUUCACUCUGGGCGGUUACAUUUGUUCCCUACGUAGAUUAAGAAAUGGGAUAUGAAUGGACAGAUUAUAAAGUUGAAAACACAAGAGGAUCAGAGGGGAUGUGCCAGGAAAACUACCGGAAGUUCAACCCACAAGGGAGCCUCGUGGGGCAGAGUUUAUGAGUGCAAAGUUGCUGUCUGGCCAGCCCUUGGGAUGCGCUGUCUUCAGCCCAGGAACAUAACCUGGACGUAGCCCGGGAGGGGAGGAGUAUCUGGAUACACGGAAUGGCAGUUUUGACACCACUGAGACCUACCAAAGAAAUCAGAUAGUCCUCAUAAAAUGGUGAGAUGGGGCAAGCCUUGAUUAGGACAGAGGAGGUCUUGUUGGGAGGAGGCAAAGUGAGGCAACCUGGGAAAACGUCAACGUGAGCAGCUGGGUCUAGGCUGUAAGCGAGACACUACCUGGGUCUAGGGAAACCUUAGUGGUGGGGGGGCAGGUUGCAGGAGGCGGGAUUGAACACACUCUAUUAUCAUUCCAUAAGUCCCCCCCCAAAAAAUCGCUUUAUAAUUGCAGCAUUCGUCCCCUCCAUGGAGACAAGGAAAUGUGUGUUCAGGGCCAUCAGUGAGGACUGGUCAAUGGAAGGGAAGACUUAGAGCCUGAGGAGUCCUUAGCCAUAUUACAAGCCUCACCAGACCAGCUCAGAGGGACUCCAGGCUGUUAGCAUCACCCCUCCCCCCACAAAAAAAUAAAAACCAAAAUGAUAAUAAGCACCUAUUCGUCACAAUUUGUUAUGGUUAAAAGGGUUCAAAAAUAACGUCAGCAGUUCCAGCUGUGAGUCUUUGAUGAUGCUGUUAAGAUGGCGGUGGUCAUCCAAAGGCUGCAGUGCGGGCUGCAGGAGCCAUCUGCAAGGUGUUUCCCGCCCCCUCCCCUUCAUGGCUGGUUGUGGAGAGGACUCCUCAGUUCCUGCCCACGUCGGUCUCUUCCCCCAUGCUACUUGAUUGAAUUGUCAUUAAAGCAUGGUGCCUCAAGAGAGGUGGAGGAAGAAGAGAGAAACUCUCUUAUGGCCUCACAAGAGCAAGCACACAGCAUCGCUUCUACCUCACUCAGCACACGAACGCCAAUCGACCAAACAGCCCACAACCCAAGGGUAAGAGAUGUUAGACGCCAUCUUUUGAAAGCAUGAACCCCAGAGAUGACCAUGUGGUGAUACUGUCUGCUGAUAGGAAGAGCAACCUCUUUCUGUACUACUACCCCCAUUUCAGCCCUGCCACAGCGGCGUCUGCUAACUGCCUAUAGCUAGCCUCAGGGAGUGGGCGGGGCCUCCUGAGCCCCACCCCCUAGGAACUGUUAACUGCCUCUAAAGCCACAGCUAAAGGGGCCAGGACGCAAGCAUCCCUCUCCCUGAAAGUCAACGAGUUGGUAAUCCUGUGUAAACACCGCUAAGGUCAUUGUAGCCCAGUGGUCCCCAGGCUGCUGACAGGUGUGUAACCCCACAUGGCUCCUGAGCUGUCCAUGGCUACACAGAGGAGGAAUCAGAAGGCAGCCACCUCCUCUCCCCCGUAUGAAUUUCACACAAGUACAUAUUACCAGCAGAUAGCACUACCCAGACGGAUACCAUCUUGUAGCCCAGAACCUCUUGCCAGGCCCGGCAAGCUCUGGCUCUUGAAGCCUGGGCAGAAUGAAGAACUGUCGUCUUGAGUUCUGGAGGAGAGGUAAGAGGGGAACACACCCAUUCGAAAUGGGAAAGGGACGAUGAAAGAGGGGAGUUUUACCUAGCAUCCUAACAUGUGAGACCCUGCAUUCUGUCCCGGAGGGUGUUGCAACGACAUUGACUAGAAGCCUACAGCAGAAGUGGAAAGAGAAUAGAGGCUUUCUGAAGAUGGUGCCAUUGAAGGAGGGUUUGGCGCCCCACUGUGGACAGUUUGGGCUUCUGCAGCUGAAGGAACUUGAGAUUUGGACUUGUGGAUGCUAUGAAAACUUCAGAAGAGGGCAGUAUCCCUAGGAAGAUACAGCAGUAAGCAGAGCCUAGAGGCCAGCCAGAGGGCUGCAUUAGCUCAGCCAGGCAGCUCAGCUCUGACACACACACACACACACACACACACUAACUUGGCAGCACAUAUAGUAAAAUUGGAUCAAUACACUAGCACAGUCCUGUAUAAGAAUCACACACACA